rnacentral:rRNA from 1 species
CCUACGGGAGGCAGCAGUAAGGAAUAUUGGACAAUGCCCGCAAGGGUGAUCCAGCCAUGCCGCGUGCAGGAAGAAGGCCUAUGGGUCGUAAACUGCUUUUGAACAAGAGAUAGUAUUGUUAGAAUAAGCAUCGGCUAACUUCGUGCCAGCAGCCGCGGUAAGACGAAGGAUGCAAGCGUUAUCCGGAUUCAUUGGGUUUAAAGGGUGCGUAGGCGGCCUAAUAAGUCAGUGGUGAAAGCCUGUUGCUUAACAACAGAACUGCCAUUGAUACUGUUGGGCUUGAGUACAGAUGCUGUGGGCGGAAUAUGACAUGUAGUGGUGAAAUACAUAGAGAUGUCAUAGAACACCGAUUGCGAAGGCAGCUCACAAAACUGUACUGACGCUGAGGCACGAAAGUGCGGGGAUCAAACAGGAUUAGAUACCCUUGUAGUC